rnacentral:rRNA from 1 species
UACGGGGGGGGCAAGCGUUGUUCGGAAUUACUGGGCGUAAAGGGCUCGUAGGUGGCCAACUAAGUCAGACGUGAAAUCCCUCAGCUUAACUGGGGAACUGCGUCUGGUACUGGAUGGCUUGAGAUUGGGAGAGGGAUGCGGAAUUCCAGGUGUAGCGGUGAAAUGCGUAGAUAUCUGGAGGAACACCGGUGGCGAAGGCGGCAUCCUGGACCAACACUGACACUGAGGAGCGAAAGCCAGGGGAGCAAACGGG